GCUUGCUAUGAUAAAAAUUAGUGGCAGACGGGUGAGUAAUGCAUAGGAAUCUACCUAGUAGUAUGGGAUAGCCACUAGAAAUGGUGGGUAAUACUGUAUAAUCCCUGCGGGGGAAAGAUUUAUCGCUAUUAGAUGAGCCUAUGUUAGAUUAGCUAGUUGGUAGGCUAAAGGCCUACCAAGGCAGUGAUCUAUAGCUGGUCUGAGAGGAUGAUCAGCCACACUGGAACUGAGAUACGGUCCAGACUCCUACGGGAGGCAGCAGUGGGGAAUAUUGGACAAUGGGCGCAAGCCUGAUCCAGCUAUGCCGCGUGAGUGAGGAAGGCCUUAGGGUUGUAAAACUCUUUCAGUGGGGAAGAUAAUGACGGUACCCACAGAAGAAGUCCCGGCAAUCUCCGUGCCAGCAGCCGCGGUAAUACGGAGGGGGCAAGCGUUGUUCGGAAUUAUUGGGCGUAAAGGGCAUGUAGGCGGUUCGGUAAGUUAAAGGUGAAAUGCCAGGGCUUAACCCUG
rnacentral:rRNA from 1 species